AACGAACGCUGGCGGCAGGCUUAACACAUGCCAGUCGAACGCACCUUUCGGGGUGAGUGGCCGACGGGUGAGUAACGCGUGGGAAUCUACCCUUCUCUACGGGAUAGCUCCGGGAAACUGGAAUUAAUACCGUAUACGUCCUGAGGGAGUAAGAUUUAUCGGGGAAGGAUGAGCCCGCGUUGGAUUAGCUAGUUGGUGGGGGACAGGCCUACCAAGGCGACGAUCCAUAGCUGGUCUAAGAGGAUGAUCAGCCACAUUGGGACUGCGACACGGCCCACACUCCUACGGGAGGCAGCAGUGGGGAAUAUUGGACAAUGGGCGCAAGCCUGAUCCAGCCAUGCCGCGUGAGUGAUGAAGGCCCUAGGGUUGUAAAGCUCUUUCAGUGGGGACGAUAAUGACGGUACCCACAGAAGAAGCCCCGGCUAACUUCGUG
rnacentral:rRNA from 1 species